rnacentral:rRNA from 1 species
GACGAACGCUGGCGGCGUGCCUAAUACAUGCAAGUCGAACGCAAUGGGGCGGGUGAGUAACACGUGGGUAACCUCCCAACAGAGGGGAUAACACUUGGAAACAGGUGCUAAACCGAUACUGAUGGAUGGACUCGCGGUGCAUUAGCUAGUGGGUGAGGUAAUGGCUGACCAAGGCCACGAUGCAUACCCGGCCGGAGAGGACGAUCGGCCAGACUGGGACUGUGACACGGCCCAUACGCCUACGGGAGGCAGCAGUAGGCAAUCUUCGGCAAUGGACGAAAGUCUGACCGAGCAACGCCGCGUGAGUGAAGAAGGUUUUCGGAUCGUAAAACUCUGUUGUUAGAGAAGCGGUAUCAAAACAGAAAGCCACGGCUAACUACGUGCCAGCAGCCGCGGUAAUUC